rnacentral:rRNA from 1 species
ACUCCUACGGGAGGCAGCAGUGGGGAAUAUUGCACAAUGGGGGAAACCCUGAUGCAGCCAUGCCGCGUGUGUGAAGAAGGCCUUCGGGUUGUAAAGCACUUUCAGUAGGGAGGAAGGUAGUGUAGUUAACACCUGCACUAUUUGACGUUACCUACAGAAGAAGCACCGGCUAACUCCGUGCCAGCAGCCGCGGUAAUACGGAGGGUGCGAGCGUUAAUCGGAAUUACUGGGCGUAAAGCGCAUGCAGGCGGCCUGUUAAGUCAGAUGUGAAAGCCCGGGGCUUAAACCUCGGAAAUUGCAUUUGAAACUGGCAAGGCUAGAGUCUUGUAGAGGGGGGUAGAAUUUCAGGUGUAGCGGUGAAAUGCGUAGAGAUCUGAAGGAAUACCAGUGGCG